AACAUUCACUGAGUCCUCUGAGAGGCUGGAGGUGCAACUGGUCAAAACUUGUGCAGGAUGAACCUCUGUCUAUUGGUGAGUUAACCACAGGCAUGCAAAGCAGAUUCUGGAUGGUCAGGCUUGAUUGUGUGUUCUGUUGAAUAAAAAUCUCUCUCUCUCUCUCUCUCUCUCUCUAUAUAUAUAUAUAUAUUUUAUUAAUUUUCCAAUACAUUUGUACAUUUUUAUCCAAAUUAUAACAAAUCUCUUUUGGACUUCCUUCAGCUUCUCUGACAAUCAUCCAUAUUUAUCUCUUAAUUACGCAUUCCCUUUAUACAUAUUGCCAUUUGUCUUCCCUCUCCCUUCUGUUUCUUUUUGACAAUAUCUCUCGGUUUUUACAGCGCCUCUCGAAACCCCACUAGCGUUGUUUGUAUAUCACAUACAUUUUUCAGAUACUCUACAAACUUUCCCCAGUCUUCGAUGAACUUUUGGUCUCGGGCAUAUCUGAUUUUCCCAGUUAGUUUAUCCAGUUCCGCAUAAUCUGUCAAUUUCAUUCUCCAUUCUUCUAUUGUUGGUAUUUCCUCUUGUUUCCAUUUUUGAGCCAAUAAAAUCCUUGCUGCUGUAACUGCAUACUGAAAGAGUUUACAGUCUUUUCUUCUUAUUUCUUUUCCUGUAAUUCCUAAAAGAAAGGCUUCUGGUUUCUUCAUAAAAGCAAAUUUUAACAUCUUUUUUAAUUCAUUAUAAAUCGCAUCCCAGAAACCUUUCACUUUCUUACAUUCCCACCACAUAUGAUAAAAUGUUCCUUCUUUUUCUUUACAUUUCCAACACUUAUUACAUGUCUUAUACAUUUUUGCUAAUUUUACCGGCGUGAUGUACCAUCUGUAGAACAUUUUCAUAACAUUUUCCUUCAACGCAGUACAUGCAGUAAAUUUCAAAUUUUCUUUCCACAAUUUCCCCCAAUCAUCAAAUUGUAUAUUAUACCCAAAGUUUUUGGCCCAUUGUAUCAUUAACCUCUUCGUCUUUCAUGUUCCAUUCCAACAGUAUUUUAUACAUUUUUGACAAAAUUUUAUAGUAAAUUUCAAAUUUUCUUUCCACAAUUUUUCCCAAUCAUCAAUCUGUUGAAUAAAAAUCUCAGUGUGACCCUGGCUGGAGCUCAACCAGCUUGCCUGUGUACUUUUAUUAUUAUUUAUUAAUUUUGUAUACCGUCCUUUAUCCAUAGGUCUCAGCAUGGCAGUGCUGUCCUGAUCUUUAUGGUAUUGCUGUGCUGGUAGGUUCUGAUUCUCGAGCUUAGUUUCAACAUCGUAGUCAAAACAUAGUUAGAAAUGAACUGCAGGGGUAAUGUGCUCUCUCCCCUUCUCUCCUCCCAUACACUGAUUCUCCUUUUUGAUUUGCGGUCAUCAUAGUUUACCUUGGUGUCCAAAAUGGGCAAGUAUUGCUACGGACUGUACCAUAGUUUGCCUUCAAAUCAUAAUUGGGGGAAAUGGUUUGAAGUGGUAUUAUUAUUAUUACUGUUGUUGUUGUUGUUGUUGUUGUUAUUGUUACGAUUAUGGUUUGGAGAAACCAGGAAGAGGGGAGAAGAAGCUGAGAAAGAGGGAGAAAGGAGGACCUGUGUCCACAGCACGUUCCAAAGGGCCAAAGCGUAGUCUUCUCGUGGCAUCUGAACUGGGCCACCCUAUGGAUUCAUUCAGUGUGAUUCAUUGUAAAACACAGCAAAUAUUGCCCAUACUCUUCCCCCACCCACCCUGCAUUGCUUUUGCAAAGAUUCUCAGCUGCACAGCAACCUUAAAGAACUGUUUAAGGAAGGAAAUGAUGAAAUCUAUUAUUAUCAAAUGCUUCAUGUCAACAGCUCUCUGAGUUGGUAUAAUACCUUUUUACCCUCCAGGGUUGAGCAGCGCUUUCUAAACCUCUUGCCUUUCCGAUAUAUAUCCUUAGGUACAGCAUAAUUAAAUAGCAUUAGGGAAUAAUCUAUUGUUCUGUGUGCUUGUCCUUUCCCAGACUAUGGAAAGUUUGGAGCAACCCUUUCCUUUCAAUAAUGCAGCACUGGAAACAUCUAUUGUCUUUGAAACCAUCUAUUUACAAAAGUUUGUUAUUUAUUACAUUUAUAUAUUUUCGUCCAAUGAGCUCAAGGCGGUGUACACUGUUCACCCCCUCCUUAUAUAAUUCCCACAACACCUCUGGGAGGUAGGUUAGGCUGACAGGCAAUGACUAAAGCAAAGUCACUGUUAUGUACUGAGUUGAAUAGGAUUCAGAAUGCAGCAGUCUGAUUGGUCCGCAGUAGCUACCCAAUCCAACUCCAGGAGGAAGUGAAUCCACAACCUGAUUGGCCUACAGGAGAAUCCUGGAACUAGCCAAUCACGUGGAGCCCAUUGUGUAAAUAAUGUAUAUAAAGAAGACAUUUUGGGGGAACUUCCCAUUCCUCACUACUAUGAGCUGAAUAAAGAGCAUGAAAUCC